GACGAACGCUGGCGGCGUGCUUAACACAUGCAAGUCGAACGAAGUGGCGAACGGGUGAGUAACGCGUAAUCAACCUGCCCUUCAGAGGGGGACAACAGUUGGAAACGACUGCUAAUACCGCAUACUGAAGGAGGGGCUUGGGUCUGUUUAGCUGGUUGGAGGGGUAACGGCCCACAAAGGCGAUGAUCAGUAGGCGGUCUGAGAGGAUGAACGGCCACAUUGGGACUGAGACACGGCCCAGACGCCUACGGGAGGCAGCAGGGGGGAAUUUUGGACAAUGGGCGCAAGCCUGAUCCAGCCAUGCCGCGUGUCUGAAGAAGGCCUUCGGGUUGUAAAGGACUUUUGUCAGGGAAGCGGUACCUGAAGAAUAAGCACCGGCUAACUACGUGCCAGCAGCCGCGGUAAUUC
rnacentral:rRNA from 1 species